GCUACUUCUAGUGUCAGCCAAGGAAAACCUUCUUUAAGACGAAUAAAAGGGAGGCUACACAGAAGCAAAAGUCUCGAUAGCAGUGAUUUUUGUGAACUCACUUUUGAAGGCUGCGGCCCCAGAAGGAUGGAAACCUUUAUCACCCAGAGGUGAAUGAGAAUGUUGAGAAACUUAAGGCCUCCACAUGGCUCCUAUGCCAGAUAAGCC